AGGAGAAAAGAUGAGAAGGAAAGAAGGCCGGAGUCUUUUUCUCAUUAGGCGAUAAAGAAACCGCAGUGCCAGUAAUCUGUGCCCCUCCACUGCCUCUAUCAGCUCAGAACAUCAGCCCGCUUCCUUUAGGAGUAAAUAGCAGAGAGCUGGUCCAUUAGGUGCCAUAAUGACGGCCGUUUAUUAAUAGUCAUGACUCUGAUGAGCUUCAGUGCCGCUUUGAUGGGCCAAUUUGUGUCUCUUUUACAAAGACCGCUGGGGUCGGCUGUGCGGAGCAGACCGGUUCAAGGCGCAAACGCGGGGUCCUGCCCCAGUGCUCUGAAGUGGCAUCAUUCCUCCAUCCCUUCAUCAUUUCAUCGAUCUGAAGAGAUCGCUGAUUGACUAGAUGAGGUUUCUACCAUGUUGCUUUCACCUGUCCAUGCUGUAUAGAUCAGAUGAUUAAAGUCACUCUUUUCCGUUCUGUCCACUGUUCCAGGAGUCAGUCACUUUUUGCUUACGACCCAGAUAAGAGCACUUCAGUUAGCUGCCCAGGUUUCUGACGCUGUAUUGGCAGGAGGUGUGGGAAAAGUGACUCAGAGGCGUUCUCCACAGUGGCUGAGAGCGCCGUCCACUUCCGGCACAGGUCCCAUCGCUUUUUUGUUUAUUUCAGAAAUGAAGUCUGGCGCUCAGCUCUGCUGGGGUCUCUGAUGGCUAGUUCAGACAGACCCUGCCUUGCAACCCACUCCCGAUACGGCAAAAGGCUAGCUAAAUUUUUGCUC